CCAACAAACCGCACGAAAUCUCUAAAUGUCGCUGAUUUUUCCCUGGACAACUUAAUUGCCACCUGCAUACAAAUAUAAGAAAUGUCAAAAUUAACAACUUUCAGAAUAAGAAAUCUAAUCGUAGUUUUGAAAACAUGAAUAAUUUCAUGUGUUAAAGUGAAAACGAGUAGUUAAGAUCCCUUUUAGAUUACGCACCAACAAACAGUCUGAGCUUUAUAGAAUAUUUAAUGUGAAAAUUGGAAGUUUGAAAUAAACAGCGUGAUUAAAAAAGUGAAGUGCUUGAUAAGGUGUAAUGGUUUCUUAAUGUGAAAUGUAAACAUGUAGUGUUGUGUUAGUAAACUGCAGGAAAUGACGAUUAA